ACACUACGGAUUAAUAUUCUAUUUUUGUUGUGCUGUGUAAGAGUACCAUCGUCUCUCGAAGUGGAUCUCACGUGUGUCUCGCGCAUUGCACAUAUGUCUGACAACGUACUUAUGUACACACCUUUCUUCGUUAUUCGUUUUAUACGUUUUUUACGAUAUUCAAGUUAUCUUAACAGUAGAAACAGAAGGUCAUUGUAAAUUUUGUAAAUAUUUGCAAAACAUCACGCUUUUAGUAAUUGUUUGAGAGGAAUAAAAGCUAUAGAAAUAUUUUAACAGAUAAAAAUCAAGUCUGCGGUCUUAAAUCACUUGCAUAAUAACGUUAAAAAUUAGAUCUGUAUGACAUGUAUAGGGUGUGAAGGAAGUAAGUGUAAAUAAGAUAGUAUGAUUUUACAGUACCGGAUGGAUGAAGAAAAAAGCUUCUAAAAAAAACCAUAGGCUGCAAAUGAUUCCUUCUCCCGGUCAACAACGUUAAAGUUUUAAUAAUUCGUUAACUGGCUUUAUUGGCAUAAAAAUAUUUAUUUGCAUUUACUUUUUGUGGGAAAAUAACGCGCCAUCGACGAAGCAGUAGGAAAUUACAGAUAUAUCAGAAUACUGAAAUAAUGGAAGAUCUUUACGUGCAGAAAAGGUUGCGUGAUAAUAUGAUUUUCAGCGACUAAAUUAGUAAUUUCGUGAUCAAGAAUUAAUAUUGCGACAUUUAAAUCCAUAUCAAAGAUUAAAUCGAUCCCGCAUUCCUAAAGAAGAUUAAUUAUUGCCAUUCCUCGUGCGCAUUUACUAAUGAAUUUACAUAGAAUAGGUGACAUCGAAUCCAUCAUACGACAAUGUGGCGAAUACGAGAGCGAACUUACAUUUUUACAACAUUCGCCGCGUUUAAACACUCCAAAUAGAUAUGUCACUCGGUGGGACUUUCCCAUUGAAUGAUACUUAUGCUGCAACUAUGCUUUUUCGACCGUGUUACGAAUGCAGUAGCAUCCUCGAUCAACAAACGCCAGAAUUUCAUUUCGUGCUCGCGAUAAAGCGUACGCAAUAAUUCGAGGCAUUUAAUCAAGAAUGGGUAGCAAUUAUGUGCCUACAUCGAUAACAAGUGCGUAUAUUUGCGACUUUUAGAUUCGUGACUCUAUAGCAAAUUACACCAAGUUAAAGCACACGUGCCUACUCUAUCUAUUCCACGCAUGAUUGCUCUCACUCCGACUCAUAGUCGAUCGGUUCGCCAAUUUUUCAAUGAAACGUUUAUAUUAUCGUGAACAGGAUGAAUCGCUUCCCAUGGACCACCUCGCUUUGCAGAUUCGGCACUGCUCCACUUCUUUCUUCGCAGAGUGAAAGAUAUCGUUCAGUAGCUUAAAAUUUAGUUAAAACAGUAGUGUCAAAUUUAGUAUACUUUUUGUCGCCUACGAGCAAAAAUAAAUAUGCGUUUCUUUUACGAUUACGGAUAUCUAUGAGAAUAAUCGUUGAUGGAAAAGAAGCCUGAGCGAAGAAUUAUAUGUAAAUUUGCAAACAAAAAAUUUAAUUCAUUAAUUCAUUAAUGUUAAUUCAUUGUGAAUUAAAAAUCAGUUUGAAAAUUACUAAAACUUUAACAUCGUUGACCGGCAGAAGGGAUCAUUUGCGACCCAUGGUGCCUUUCAGACUGUUGUUUCUCGCGAUGAGCACAGUAUGCUAUAAUAAAAAAGAUUAAACUUUGAUUUUGAAAUGAAUUGAAUUUGAUGUAGGAUCCUCUUUAAACUUACUUUCUUCGCACCCUGUGCAUGACACGUCGGCAAAUACUGGCCGGUAGAGUGAAGUUACGUCCACGCAACAGCAAUCACCAAAGUAUAACUUAUACCACAUUAAUAUAGAUUUAUAGGGAGUAGCGUUAUGUGAGAAAUGAGAACAGCGCGUAAUUGCAAGAGUGUGAAUAUGAAAAGGCGAUUAAGUGUUAGAAAUAGACAAGAGAAGCUCUGAAGCUGGUUCAAAGACAGACGGGAGAAAUUCUAGACAGGGGGAGACAAAGACACGGAGUAGCGAAAUGAGAGAGGACAGGUGGAAGGUGGAAAGACACCUAGUAGAAGCUAAAAGACAAAGGGAUUUGAGGUUAGAGCGAAAACUCGGAUCUACUGGAUGACGAUCGUGUGGGUCACAGGAAGCAGCGACACCUAUCGAGGGAAAACAGGGCUGCUGGAUCGCGGUUCAUCGUAUCAGUACCCUUCGACACUUGAUGGACACGCAAGAAAUCAAAGAACCAAAAGCAACAGAAAGCGCUAGGUGAGAGCAGAAGGACUAAUGAGCAAAAUAAAAGAUUCAAAAAGGAGAGGAAGAUCGACCUCGACGGAACAGGAUAGGACGGUACAGUGUUAAAGGCGAAUGCUCAUUAAUUGAAGCCUUUAAGGGAAAAGGGAAAGAGGACGAAGACCGGGAAAGAGACAAAGCAGGAAAAGAGAACUUGAAAAAACCGCAAAUGACAAGAAAGAAAGGUAGAUCACCACCAAUGAAAAAACAGGAAAAGGGAGAGGGCGGAAAGAAAAAACGGCG